GCCUAUGGUGUUGAGGAAUUGAAUCAAACCAGCUGCAUCAGACAAUGUGUGGUUUAGACGCAGUGCAAAUAUAAAUCCCCCGCACCUCAAUCGGGUCACCUGCAUUUUACAAAGGUAGUCUUCAUCAGUAUAUGCUUAAGCAACAUCCAGUGAUUUUGUAAUGAAACUUACUACUUAUUAUUUAAUAACUUAAAACUUAGUUUAAGUUAAAUUAUUUUUAAGUUGCUAACUUAAAAUGAAUUAUCUAUUUUUUAGGUUAAAUACUAGAUUGGUGGGUUUACCUAAAAUUUGUUUUAAAUCAUCAAAUUGAUAUAUUUACCUUCAUUAAUUUUAAUUAAUAUUUAUUUUCAUUAAUUUUAAAUAGUAAAUUUGUUUAUAAAAUAUUCAUAUUUAUAGUAUCGUAGAUACAUUAAAUAUUUAUUAUAAAAAAUAGGUCAUGCAUGCAUGUCGAAUCAUAAUUCUAAAAUAUACUCGUAUGUGGUCUCAAAAAUUUAUUUUUAACAUUUAACAAAAAAAUCAAAUAUUUUGGUUUUUUUAUUCUAUAAAUUUUUUUUUAAAAUAAAUCAUAAGUAAAAAAAAAAUUAAAAUUAAAUCAUCUAAAAUGUUAAAGUAAAUUAUAUUUGGUAUUAAGUUAAAAAAAACAAACAUCACCUAAAUGAAUUAUUUCAACUUAAUGCCUAGAAUUAAAAAUAACUUUAAUUUGUAAUAUUGAGUUAAUUUAAAUAAAGUCGUUAAAUCAUAUUAAGUCAUUGAUUUACCAAAUACCUUCUUAUAAUGGAAAUUAUUUACCUGAAUUAAGAUAAGAGGGGAACCAAGAAUUCUCGUGGAGCCAGGGACAUCAUACAGAAGCUCCUCAAAGCAGGGACACAUUGGCUGAAUUGCAUCACCAAGAUUCUCAAGUGUGGUAUCCGCAUCGGCUUCAAUGAACAAGACCCCUUCACCGGUGCA
rnacentral:lncRNA from 1 species